CGAGUUGGUUAGGCAAUCGCUGGUUUAUUGAAGCCCUUAACGUCAGUUUACUGAAAUGAGUGGGACAAAUAGACGAGAGGAAAGUCCGAGCUACAUAGGGCAGAGUGCCAGAUAACGUCUGGGCGGCGUGAGCCGACGACAAGUGCAACAGAGAGAAGACCGCCUAUUUUUAGGUAAGGGUGAAAGGGUGCGGUAAGAGCGCACCGCAUAGCUGGUAACAGUUUAUGGCAAGGUAAACUCCACUCGUAGCAAGACCAAAUAGGAAUCCAAUGUGUUGCCCGCACAGGAUUCGGGUAGGUUGCUUGAGCGAUAAAGUGAUUUAUCGCCUAGAGGAAUGAUUGCCCACGACAGAACUCGGCUUAUCGACCAACUCAAAAA
rnacentral:RNase_P_RNA from 1 species